rnacentral:rRNA from 1 species
AGAGUUUGAUCCUGGCUCAGGAUGAACGCUGGCGGCGUGCCUAAUACAUGCAAGUCGAGCGAACGGACGAGAAGCUUGCUUCUCUGAUGUUAGCGGCGGACGGGUGAGCAACACGUGGAUAACCUACCUAUAAGACUGGGAUAACUUCGGGAAACCGGAGCUAAUACCGGAUAAUAUUUUGAACCGCAUGGUUCAAAAGUGAAAGACGGUCUUGCUGUCACUUAUAGAUGGAUCCGCGCUGCAUUAGCUAGUUGGUAAGGUAACGGCUUACCAAGGCAACGAUGCAUAGCCGACCUGAGAGGGUGAUCGGCCACACUGGAACUGAGACACGGUCCAGACUCCUACGGGAGGCAGCAGUAGGGAAUCUUCCGCAAUGGGCGAAAGCCUGACGGAGCAACGCCGCGUGAGUGAUGAAGGUCUUCGGAUCGUAAAACUCUGUUAUUAGGGAAGAACAUAUGUGUAAGUAACUGUGCACAUCUUGACGGUACCUAAUCAGAAAGCCACGGCUAACUACGUGCCAGCAGCCGCGGUAAUACGUAGGUGGCAAGCGUUAUCCGGAAUUAUUGGGCGUAAAGCGCGCGUAGGCGGUUUUUUAAGUCUGAUGUGAAAGCCCACGGCUCAACCGUGGAGGGUCAUUGGAAACUGGAAAACUUGAGUGCAGAAGAGGAAAGUGGAAUUCCAUGUGUAGCGGUGAAAUGCGCAGAGAUAUGGAGGAACACCAGUGGCGAAGGCGACUUUCUGGUCUGUAACUGACGCUGAUGUGCGAAAGCGUGGGGAUCAAACAGGAUUAGAUACCCUGGUAGUCCACGCCGUAAACGAUGAGUGCUAAGUGUUAGGGGGUUUCCGCCCCUUAGUGCUGCAGCUAACGCAUUAAGCACUCCGCCUGGGGAGUACGACCGCAAGGUUGAAACUCAAAGGAAUUGACGGGGACCCGCACAAGCGGUGGAGCAUGUGGUUUAAUUCGAAGCAACGCGAAGAACCUUACCAAAUCUUGACAUCCUUUGACAACUCUAGAGAUAGAGCCUUCCCCUUCGGGGGACAAAGUGACAGGUGGUGCAUGGUUGUCGUCAGCUCGUGUCGUGAGAUGUUGGGUUAAGUCCCGCAACGAGCGCAACCCUUAAGCUUAGUUGCCAUCAUUAAGUUGGGCACUCUAAGUUGACUGCCGGUGACAAACCGGAGGAAGGUGGGGAUGACGUCAAAUCAUCAUGCCCCUUAUGAUUUGGGCUACACACGUGCUACAAUGGACAAUACAAAGGGCAGCGAAACCGCGAGGUCAAGCAAAUCCCAUAAAGUUGUUCUCAGUUCGGAUUGUAGUCUGCAACUCGACUACAUGAAGCUGGAAUCGCUAGUAAUCGUAGAUCAGCAUGCUACGGUGAAUACGUUCCCGGGUCUUGUACACACCGCCCGUCACACCACGAGAGUUUGUAACACCCGAAGCCGGUGGAGUAACCUUUUAGGAGCUAGCCGUCGAAGGUGGGACAAAUGAUUGGGGUGAAGUCGUAACAAGGUAGCCGUAUCGGAAGGUGCGGCUGGAUCACCU